rnacentral:rRNA from 1 species
CUACGUGCCAGCAGCCGCGGUAAUACGUAGGUGGCAAGCGUUGUCCGGAUUUAUUGGGCGUAAAGCGAGCGCAGGCGGUUCCUUAAGUCUGAUGUGAAAGCCCCCGGCUCAACCGGGGAGGGUCAUUGGAAACUGGGGAACUUGAGUGCAGAAGAGGAGAGUGGAAUUCCAUGUGUAGCGGUGAAAUGCGUAGAGAUGUGGAGGAAUACCGAUGGCGAAGGCAGCCUCCUGGGAUAACACUGACGUUCAUGCUCGAAAGCGUGGGUAGCAAACAGGAUUAGAUACCCUGGUAGUCCACGCCCUAAACGAUGUCAAUUAGCUGUUGGGCAACUUGAUUGCUUAGUAGCGUAGCUAACGCGUGAAAUUGACCGCCUGGGGAGUACGGUCGCAAGAUUAAAACUCAAAGGAAUUGACGGGGACCCGCACAAGCGGUGGAUGAUGUGGAUUAAUUCGAUGCAACGCGAAGAACCUUACCUGGUCUUGACAU